rnacentral:tRNA from 2 species
AAUAGCUCAGUUGGUAGAGCGAUGGACUGUUAAUCCAUGUGUCACUGGUUCGAGCCCAGUUU